rnacentral:rRNA from 1 species
GACAGAGGGUGCAAACGUUGUUCGGAAUUACUGGGCGUAAAGCGCGUGUAGGCGGCUAUGUAAGUCGGGCGUGAAAUCCCACGGCUCAACCGUGGAAGUGCACUCGAAACUGCAUAGCUAGAGUCCUGGAGAGGAAGGUGGAAUGCUUGGUGUAGAGGUGAAAUUCGUAGAUAUCAAGCGGAACACCGGUGGCGAAGGCGGGUCUCUGGGCCGAUACUGACGCUGAGGAGCGAAAGCGUGGGGAGCGAACAGG